rnacentral:lncRNA from 1 species
AUUGAUCCCCCCUGCCCGGACUUUCUAAAGAGAUCUUCCACCCUGUCGUACGAGCUCAAUUAGAUUGAUCCUACCUUGCCCUUGGUAUUUUCGUGCCUAAACGCCUUGCUCAUCCCUUUCUUUAAGUAAAGCACCGGCUUGGUUCCACCUCUCUGCUUAAGGCUUCAUAGACGUAGCUCCGUAGGUCUCACACGGCUCAUUGCUUUGACUUGAAUCGAGAUUGGGUUUGUAUCAAGCCGACUCUACUAGAAUACCA